ensembl:lncRNA
GCUGCAACCAUCAUGUGCCAACUGAACCAGUACUGGAGCUGUUGCACCUUCUUUGCACCAAGAACUCAUGGAGAAAACUCCCUCCACAAACCGCUGUCCUUCUGAGUGAGAACCAUCGGGACUAGUCUUCAUGUUGUGCCGAAUGUACCUUGUUCUUAAGAGCAGGAUAUCCAGCAAGUUACUCUAAGAAAGCAACACAACACUGAAAGGGAAAAUUCCAUUGUGCUAGAAGAAUCCAAAUGUUAUUUCAGAGCUUUACGCAGUCUCCCAGAUACCUGGGAACCCAACUGUGAAGAUUGCAGGCAUAAUGAAAUGGGAAAGAAUUUAGAAAGUGAAUUCAAACAGAAGAAUCUAUGGGAGAAGUUCAGAUUUGUGAGUCUCUCGGUAAUUCCAUUCCAUUCAACAAUUUCAAGUCAUAAAAUGCAAAAUUAGAAACUCUGUCUCAUGACUUACAUACAGUUAGGAAUGUCUGGCACUGAAAUUAUAUCUGCUGGAGACAGAUGAGACCAGGAAAACUCUGGCCAAUCUUACUCUGAUCACAACUAAGAAACUAGUAGUGGCUACAGGAUAGAUCUGGCUUCCUUUCAUGCCAACGGAAAUCAGUCACUGAUAUUGAAGGGAAUGGACUGGGGUCAAUGGACGCUGUUUUGACUAUUUUGCAUUCAGUAAUUUUUAGGGAAGAAGUAAUUUUUAGGCAUAGCCUGCUACAGCUCUAAUGAAUAUAUUGCAAAUGGUUAAAAUGAUAAAACUAUACGGCCAUAAAUAUUGCCUUAGAGGUGAUUCCAAAGAGCCUUGGGAAAGGUGCUAAUGCAAGUCAAUGUUCUGAAAGGCAAUCUUUUAGUAGUUUCCAGUGGAAGUAUGACAGCAAUUACAUGUUUUUCUACAAAGUAAUUGUUAACAUUUUGAAUAAAACAGCUUAUUUAUUAUAUUUUAACUCUUUAGGUCUUGCCUUUCCUAAGCUUUUUCUCUGAAACACUCAUGAAACGAGAAAUCCUUUGAGAAGCUCACCUCACAGCUACCACCUCACAAGAACAGUGAGCUGUGAGUACCACUCGGUUUAUUCUAAACUGCUGAAGAUAAGAGUUAAAUUUUGAAAAGCAGUCUAAAUUCCCUGCAUGAACUCAGGUCUUGAUGCUUUCCUGUAUCAUGCCUACCUGCGUGGGUACACAAUGAUUUCA